CUACGGGUCGCACCAGUGGGGAAUAUUGCACAAUGGAGGAAACUCUGAUGCAGCAACGCCGCGUGGAGGAUGACACUUUUCGGGGCGUAAACUCCUUUUAUAUAGGAAGAAGAUGACGGUACUAUAUGAAUAAGCGCCGGCUAACUCCGUGCCAGCAGCCGCGGUAAUACGGAGGGCGCAAGCGUUACUCGGAAUCACUGGGCGUAAAGAGCGUGUAGGCGGAUUAAAAAGUCAGAAGUGAAAUCCUAUAGCUUAACUAUAGAACUGCUUCUGAAACUCUUAAUCUAGAAUGUGGGAGAGGUAGAUGGAAUUUCUGGUGUAGGGGUAAAAUCCGUAGAGAUCAGAAGGAAUACCGAUUGCGAAGGCGAUCUACUAGAACAUUAUUGACGCUGAGACGCGAAAGCGUGGGGAGCAAACAGGAUUAGAUACCCUUGUAGUC
rnacentral:rRNA from 1 species